UGGAAAGCACAGGGAUCGCAAGACCUUGCGCUUUUGGAGCGGCCGAUGUCUGAUUAGCUAGUUGGUGAGGUAAAGGCUUACCAAGGCGUCGAUCAGUAGCUGGUCUGAGAGGACGACCAGCCACACUGGGACUGAGACACGGCCCAGACUCCUACGGGAGGCAGCAGUGGGGAAUUUUGGACAAUGGGGGAAACCCUGAUCCAGCCAUGCCGCGUGAGUGAAGAAGGCCUUCGGGUUGUAAAGCUCUUUCAGCCGGAACGAAACGGUCACAGCUAAUACCUGUGACUACUGACGGUACCGGAAGAAGAAGCACCGGCUAACUACGUGCCAGCAGCCGCGGUAAUACGUAGGGUGCGAGCGUUAAUCGGAAUUACUGGGCGUAAAUGCGUGCGCAGGCGGUUUUUAAGUCAGAU
rnacentral:rRNA from 1 species